UUCGAGUAGCAUUUGAGUGGC
rnacentral:piRNA from 1 species